rnacentral:rRNA from 2 species
AAAACGACUCUCGGCAACGGAUAUCUCGGCUCACGCAUCGAUGAAGAACGUAGCAAAAUGCGAUACUUGGUGUGAAUUGCAGAAUCCCGUGAACCAUCGAGUUUUUGAACGCAAGUUGCGCCCGAAGCCAUUCGGUUGAGGGCACGUCUGCCUGGGCGUCACG